rnacentral:tRNA from 2 species
UGCCGGCUUAGCUCAGUUGGUAGAGCGGCGGUAUCGUAAACCGUAGGUCAGGUGUUCGACUCACCUAGCCGGCAU